AUUGAACGCUGGCGGAACGCUUUACACAUGCAAGUCGAACGGCAGCACGGACUUCGGUCUGGUGGCGAGUGGCGAACGGGUGAGUAAUGUAUCGGAACGUGCCCAGUCGUGGGGGAUAACGUAGUGAAAAUUACGCUAAUACCGCAUACGAACUAUGGAUGACAGCGGGGGAUCGCAAGACCUCGCCCGCUUGCAGCGCCCGAUAUCAGAUUAGGUAGUUGGUGGGGUAAAGGCCCACCAAGCCAACGAUCUGUAGCUGGUCUGAGAGGACGACCAGCCACACUGGAACUGAGACACGGUCCAGACUCCUACGGGAGGCAGCAGUGGGGAAUUUUGGACAAUGGGCGAAAGCCUGAUCCAGCCAUUCCGCGUGCAGGAUGAAGGCCCUCGGGUUGUAAACUGCUUUUGUACAGAACGAAAAGGUUUCUACUAAUACUAGGAGCUCAUGACGGUACUGUAAGAAUAAGCACCGGCUAACUACGUGCCAGCAGCCGCCGUAA
rnacentral:rRNA from 1 species